UACGUAGGGUCCGAGCGUUGUCCGGAAUUACUGGGCGUAAAGAGCUCGUAGGUGGUUUGUCGCGUUGUCCGUGAAAACUCACAGCUCAACUGUGGGCGUGCGGGCGAUACGGGCAGACUGGAGUACUGCAGGGGAGACUGGAAUUCCUGGUGUAGCGGUGGAAUGCGCAGAUAUCAGGAGGAACACCGAUGGCGAAGGCAGAUCUCUGGGCCGUAACUGACGCUGAGGAGCGAAAGCGUGGGGAGCAAACAGG
rnacentral:rRNA from 1 species